UGGGAAGUACGCAAACAGGUAAAGCGACUUGACUUUGAAUCAAGUGGUUGAGGGUUCGAUUCCUUCCUUCCCAG
rfam:Oscillatoriales cyanobacterium 'hensonii' Contig_44, whole genome shotgun sequence.